CCUACGGGUGGCUGCAGUGAGGAAUAUUGGUCAAUGGGCGGAAGCCUGAACCAGCCAAGUAGCGUGCAGGAUGACGGCCCUACGGGUUGUUAACUGCUUUUAUACGGGAAUAACGCGCCUUACGUGUAGGGCUUUGCAUGUACCGUAUGAAUAAGGACCGGCUAAUUCCGUGCCAGCAGCCGCGGGAAUACGGGAGGUCCGGGCGUUAUCCGGAUUUUUUGGAGUUAAAGGGAGCGUAGGCCGCAUGUCAAGCGUGCUGGGAAAAGUCCGGGCUCAACCCCGGCCUUGCCGCGGGAACUGGCGGGCUUGAGUCCGCGGAAAGCAGGCGGAAUUCGUCGUGUAGCGGUGAAAUGCUUAGAUAUGACGAAGAACCCCGAUUGCGAAGGCAGCUUGCUGCAGCGGAACUGACGCUGAUGCUCGAAAGCGCGGGUAUCGAACAGGAUUAGAUACCCCUGUAGUC
rnacentral:rRNA from 1 species